rnacentral:rRNA from 1 species
AUUGAACGCUGGCGGCAUGCCUUACACAUGCAAGUCGAACGGCAGCACGGGUGCUUGCACCUGGUGGCGAGUGGCGAACGGGUGAGGAAUACAUCGGAACAUGUCCUGUAGGGGGGGAUAGCCCGGCGAAAGCCGGAUUAAUACCGCAUACGAUCUACGGAGGAAAGCGGGGGCCCUUCGGGCCUCGCGCUUUGGGGUUGGCCGAUGGCUGAUUAGCUAGUUGGUGGGGUAAAGGCCUACCAAGGCGACGAUCAGUAGCUGGUCUGAGAGGACGACCAGCCACCUUGGGACUGAGAAACGGCCCAGACUCCUACGGGAGGCAGCAGUGGGGAAUUUUGGACAAUGGGCGAAAGCCUGAUCCAGCAAUGCCGCGUGUGUGAAGAAGGCCUUCGGGUUGUAAAGCACUUUUGUCCGGAAAGAAAUACUUGGCCCUAAUACGGUCGGGGGAUGACGGUACCGGAAGAAUAAGCACCGGCUAACUACGUG